rnacentral:rRNA from 1 species
CGGGGGGCAGCAGUGGGGAAUAUUGCACAAUGGGCGGAAGCCUGAUGCAGCAACGCCGCGUGCGGGAUGACGGCCUUCGGGUUGUAAACCGCUUUCGCCUGUGACGAAGCGUGAGUGACGGUAAUGGGUAAAGAAGCACCGGCUAACUACGUGCCAGCAGCCGCGGUGAUACGUAGGGUGCGAGCGUUGUCCGGAUUUAUUGGGCGUAAAGGGCUCGUAGGUGGUUGAUCGCGUCGGAAGUGUAAUCUUGGGGCUUAACCCUGAGCGUGCUUUCGAUACGGGUUGACUUGAGGAAGGUAGGGGAGAAUGGAAUUCCUGGUGGAGCGGUGGAAUGCGCAGAUAUCAGGAGGAACACCAGUGGCGAAGGCGGUUCUCUGGGCCUUUCCUGACGCUGAGGAGCGAAAGCGUGGGGAGCGAACAGGCUUAGAUACCCUGGUAGUCCACGCUGUAAACGGUGGGUACUAGGUGUGGGGUCCAUUCCACGG